CCUACGGGUGGCAGCAGUGGGGAAUAUUGGACAAUGGGCGAAAGCCUGAUCCAGCCAUGCCGCGUGUGUGAAGAAGGCCUUCGGGUUGUAAAGCACUUUCAGUGGGGAAGAAAGCCUUGGGGCUAAUACCCUCGAGGAAGGACAUCACCCACAGAAGAAGCACCGGCUAACUCCGUGCCUGCAGCCGCGGUAAUACGGAGGGUGCGAGCGUUAAUCGGAAUUACUGGGCGUAAAGCGCGCGUAGGCGGUCUGAUAAGCCGGUUGUGAAAGCCCCGGGCUCAACCUGGGAACGGCAUCCGGAACUGUCAGGCUAGAGUGCAGGAGAGGAAGGUAGAAUUCCCGGUGUAGCGGUGAAAUGUGUAGAGAUCGGGAGGAAUACCAGUGGCGAAGGCGGCCUUCUGGACUGACACUGACGCUGAGGUGCGAAAGCGUGGGUAGCAAACAGGAUUAGAUACCCUGGUAGUC
rnacentral:rRNA from 1 species